CUCUUAUCCCGAGCUGGCGGAGGGACAGGCCCUAUGAAGCCCAGCAACCGGUUUCUCUGUUAUUUAUUAUGUUCAAUUGAGUGAGACAACCAAGGUGCUAACCUGUUGCAAGGUUGUAUGAUUCCUUGAGCGAUAAGAG
rfam:Bacillus subtilis S-adenosylmethionine synthetase (metE) gene, complete cds, and phosphoenolpyruvate carboxykinase (ppc) and asparagine synthetase (asn) genes, partial cds.